GUGAGCAGAGAGGACAGCAGUCCUUAUGAGAUCAAGCUCUAAGUCUUGCUCUGUCACCCAGGCCUGGAGUGCAGUGGAGCAAUCUCAGCUCACUGCAGCCUCCGCCUCCCGGAUUCAAGUGAUUCUCCUGCUUCAGAUUCUCGAGUAGCUGGGAUUACAGUUUUGAGAAGAAUGCGAAGAAGAAAGGAAGAGUGAGCCUCUCUUUCCCAUCGUUACCCUCCAUUGUCCUCUUGACACCCUGCUUUCACAGAGAAAGAGUUUGAGACCCUCUCCCAGGAGCCAAGGAGAGGGGAACAGCUGGCUUCACAUCAUCUUUCUAUUCAACAAGAUACAAAAAGCUGAAGCCAGGAUGAUAGAAAAGCAACAAAGAAGACACGGUCCUUACUCAUUUCCCUUCCCACUUCAGAGCAAAUAUGGUGCCUGGUGUUCGAAGGGAGAACUUGUGGGCAGAGCAGGAAGCGUGAGUAUGGUUGAAGGAUCAAAUAUUUGGUUCAGGCAUCAGGGAGCCAGCAAGACUAUGAUGCUGGGAAACACAAGUGAUGUACUGUUGGAUUUAAUCUACUUGGAAAAAACCUAGGAAAACCAAAAUGUCAUCAACUAACACCUGAAAUGCCUCAGCACCAUCUGUCUCCAACAUUAAACAAAACCCACGAGAUUCCAGGAGAAAGAAAAUAGGAAAUUUAAUGAUGAACUUAACCUGAGUAACUUGAUAAAUGUUACCUUUGUGGCUAGCCAUUCACCAGCAAGUCCCUAAAAUGACCUGAAACCUGAAGAGUGUUUCACCCAUGAAAGGGUUUGCUCUCUCUGGGCAUGGCUACCCAGCACAUAUGUUAGUCAACUUUCUUUCCCUUGCAGGGCCCCUUGGAAAACUAGUUUGAAUCAUUCAUUAACUCAGCUCCACUCCUUCCCUUUCCCAUGGACCAUAGUUUCUUUGAGCAAUUAAAACUUAUAAGACACCAAAA
rnacentral:lncRNA from 1 species